rnacentral:rRNA from 1 species
UACGUAGGGUGCAAGCGUUAAUCGGAAUUACUGGGCGUAAAGCGUGCGCAGGCGGUGAUGCAAGACAGAGGUGAAAUCCCCGGGCUCAACCUGGGAACUGCCUUUUGUGACUGCAUGACUAGAGUACGGUAGAGGGGGAUGGAAUUCCGCGUGUAGCAGUGAAAUGCGUAGAUAUGCGGAGGAACACCGAUGGCGAAGGCAAUCCCCUGGACCUGUACUGACGCUCAUGCACGAAAGCGUGGGGAGCAAACAGG